CCUGAUUAUCAUUUCCAUGCUGUCCUUGAGAAUACUCCCUUUGGGUAAACUCAUCUUUCAAGGCAGAACAAAAGAGGAGCUCAUUUCCUUUCAGUACUUGUGCUAGUGAGAGCAUUCAUAAGAAGAUGCUUAUGCUGAGAAAGAAAAGCAGUACAGGCUUCAUGGCUUAGGCUAUAAAAACUUCGAACUGGGUAACUACAAGCCUUGCUUUGGUAAAGCCGACACGGACUUAAUUUCUGAAUCUGGAGUAUGCUUCCUCUGCUGGCCUGAUGCCCACCCUCCUCCAACCUCCAGCAGCCCACCACCUUGCCACAUCGG
rnacentral:lncRNA from 1 species